GAGAUGGUAAGGUAUACAAGAGAUAGAAGCUGAAGCUUCAGUGUCAAAUAAAGGAAGAGUCUUUUGUUGCCGGAGAGAUGGAGGAGAGAGAACCGCGUGUCGAAAGGAAGGCGGCAAUAACUAGGGCUCCUAAGAUUUUACAGUUUUUUUAAAAAAAACUUCUACGUCCGCCUCUGAUGGACUCCACCAAACACCAUUAAUGGAACUUCAAUUCCCCUGCAGGCAAAGUGGAGAGAGCGGAACUAGGAGAAGCACAGAGAGCGGGAGGGGAAGCACAGAGAGAGGAAAAUAGAGAAAUAGGGCAAGAGAAGAGAGUAAGAUCGGCG
rnacentral:lncRNA from 1 species